UACCAGCACCCCGAGUGGUCGCGACGAUUAUUGGGCCUAAAGCAUCCGUAGCCGGUUUUACAAGUCCUCCGUUAAAUCCAGCUGCUUAACAGAUGGGCUGCGGAGGAUACUAUAAGACUAGGAGGCAGGAGAGGCAAGCGGUACUCAGUGGGUAGGGGUAAAAUCCGUUGAUCCAUUGAAGACCACCAGUGGCGAAGGCGGCUUGCCAGAAUGCGCUCGACGGUGAGGGAUGAAAGCUGGGGGAGCAAACCGG
rnacentral:rRNA from 1 species